CCAAGAUGCAGAGCUGAGAUGUUAGAGUGGUUUCCGCGCCCGUCUAGUAGUCUGAAGCUAACGCAUUAAGCACUCCGCCUGGGGAGUACGGCCGCAAGGACUGAAACUCAAAGGAAUUGACGGGGGCCCGCACAAGCGGUGGAGCAUGUGGUUUAAUUCGAAGCAACGCGAAGAACCUUACCUGGUCUUGACAUCCUUUGAACACCCUAGAGAUAGAGCUUUCCCCUUCGGGAACACAAAACACAGGUGCUGCGUGUGUGUGUCCACCUCUCGUGUCGAGAUAUGUUGUUAAAACCCCCGCCGAGAGCGCCACUUGUAAUCUUUUGCGACAUCUUUAUGUUGGACUCUCUGGGAGACUGCCGGAGACAAAGCGGAAGAGGGUGGAUAUGACGUCAUAUCAUCGUGCCCCUUAUGAUGUGGGGCUACACACGUUCUACUGUGCAAACACAGAGGGGUGCUAGACCGGGAUGUCAUGCAUCUCGCAUAACACCCGCUCCCUGCGGGGAUUGUGCAUCGCCCACCGCG
rnacentral:rRNA from 1 species